GUGCCAGCCGCCGCGGUAAUUCCAGCUCCAAUAGCGUAUAUUAAAGUUGUUGUGGUUAAAAAGCUCGUAGUUGAACCUUGGGCCUGGCUGGCCGGUCCGCCUCACCGCGUGCACUGGUCCGGCCGGGCCUUUCCCUCUGUGGAACCCCAUACCCUUCACUGGGCGUGGCGGGGAAACAGGACAUUUACUUUGAAAAAAUUAGAGUGCUCCAGGCAGGCCUAUGCUCGAAUACAUUAGCAUGGAAUAAUAAAAUAGGACGCGCGGUUCUAUUUUGUUGGUUUAUAGGACCGCCGUAAUGAUUAAUAGGGACAGUCGGGGGCAUCAGUAUUCAACUGUCAGAGGUGAAAUUCUUGGAUCAGUUGAAGACUAACUACUGCGAAAGCAUUUGCCAAGGAUGUUUUCAUUAAUCAGGAACGAAAGUUAGGGGAUCGAAGACGAUCAGAUACCGUCGUAGUCUUAACCAUAAACUAUGCCGACUAGGGAUCGGCGGAUGUUGCUCUAAGGACUCCGCCAGCACCUUCUGAGAAAUCAGAGUGUUUGGGUUCCGGGGGGAGUAUGGUCGCAAGGCUGAAACUUAAAGGAAUUGACGGAAGGGCACCACCAGGAGUGGAGCCUGCGGCUUAAUUUGACUCAACACGGGGAAACUUACCAGGUCCAGACAUAGUAAGGGAUUGACAGAUUGAGAGCUCUUUCUUGAUUCUAUGGGUGGUGGUGCAUGGCCGUUCUUAGUUGGUGCAGCGAUUUGUCUGGUUAAUUCCGAUACGAACGAGACCUCAGCCUGCUAACUAGCUACGCGAGUCCCCUUCGCGGCAGCUUCUUAGAGGGACUAUGGCCGUUAGGCCAUGGAAGUUGAGGCAAUAACAGGUCUAUGAUGCCCUUAAGAUGUUCUUGGACG
rnacentral:rRNA from 1 species